AAUAUACUCCCUCCGUCUGGAAAUACUUGUCUUAAAAAUGGAUGUAUGUAGAUUUAUUUUAGUUAUAGAUACAUUUUAUUUAAUUAUUUUUAGGACAAGUAUUUUCGGAGAGAGGGAGUAGAUG
rfam:Hordeum vulgare subsp. vulgare, WGS project CAJW01000000 data, contig: morex_contig_244706